rnacentral:tRNA from 1 species
UUCUAAGUAGCUUAAAUAAAGCAAUUUACUGAAGAUAAAGAAAUUCUAUCCAC